UAGAUUAAAAAAUAAAUAAAGAAACCUAUUUAUUUAUGUAAUAAAAUUCGGCCCCACCCAAUAUAGGUUCUAAUAAUAUCUAAAACCCUAAAAUCCCAAAUGGCUUUCCACACACAUUCUCAGGCCGCUGGAGGCUCUUUCUCUCUUAUGUUUCAAUUUUCUCUCUCUUCAACUUUCAAGUUCUCAAGAUUUCAAACCUUAAAAUCCUUUGUGAGUCGCUCUCCAUCUUCAAAUUUCCUGAUCUCCUUCACGUUUUAAACGUUUAACCAAGGUACUUUGUGGAAGAAGCCAGUUAGAUCCGACGGUAAUAGGUUGAUGCAUGUGCGAAAUUUGGGUCAGAUCUUAAGCUACUUCAAGUAGAAGCUCACAAAUUCAGAAGUUUUGUACAUGAGAAAAAUUUAUGUAAAUUAUUUGCAUUAUAAAAUGUAAAUUAUUUAUUUAUUUUUUGCU